AUGGUGCUGAUCCCUCUCAUCCGGGAUUACAUCGACCGCAUGCUCCAGGACAUCUCCGGCAUGAAGGUCCUCAUCCUCGACCCCCAAACCGUGGGGAUGGUUAGCGUAGUGUACAGCCAGUCGGAUCUCCUGCGGAAAGAGGUGUUCCUCGUGGAGACGGUCGACGACGCCUCCAGCUCCAGGGCGUCCAUGGCGCACCUAAAGGCAGUCUACUUCCUCCGCCCGUCCUCUGACAACGUCCAGAAGCUUCGCCGCCACCUCUCUGCGCCGCGAUUCGCCGAGUGCCACCUCUUCUUCUCAAAUAUAUUGAAGAUUCCACAGAUUCAGGUGCUUGCCGAUUCUGAUGAGCAGGAGGUUGUGCAGCAAAUUCAGGAGUUCUAUGCUGACUUUUGUGCCAUUGAUCCUUUCCAUUUCACUCUGAAUAUACACAAUAACCACAUCUACAUGCUUCCAACGGUGGUUGAUCCUCCUGGUAUGCAAAGCUUCUGCGAUCGAGCUGUUGACGGCAUCGCUUCUGUCUUCCUGGCUCUGAAGCGUCGCCCUGUUAUUAGAUACCAAAGGACAUCAGAUGUCGCAAAAAGGAUUGCACAAGAAACUUCGAGGUUGAUGUAUGAGCAGGAAAGUGGCCUGUUUGAUUUUAGACGAACUGAAAACUCUUCCUUAUUAUUGGUGAUUGACAGAAGGGAUGAUCCUGUUACUCCGUUACUUAAUCAGUGGACAUAUCAGGCAAUGGUCCAUGAGCUUAUUGGAAUUGAGAACAACAAAGUUGAUCUUAAGGAGUUCGCUAAUGUCCCUAAAGAUCAGCAGGAGGUGGUUCUAUCAGCAGUACAAGAUGACUUUUUUAGAGUGAACAUGUUCGAGAAUUUUGGAGACCUUGGUAUGAAUGUCAAAAGAAUGGUAGAUGACUUUCAACAUCUUUCAAAAAGCAGCCAGAAUUUUCAGAGUAUAGAUGAUAUGGCAAAAUUUGUGAGCAACUAUCCUGAAUACCGAAAGACACAUGGAAAUGUGACAAAGCAUGUUGCUUUGGUGAGCGAGAUGAGCAGAAUGGUGGAGGAAAGGAAGCUUAUGCAAGUUUCACAGACGGAACAAGAGCUAGCAUGUGCAAGUGGACAAGCAGCAGCCUUCGAGGCUGUUACUUCCUUACUUAACAAUGAAAGUGUAUCUGAUAUUGAUCGUUUGCGACUUGUAAUGCUCUAUGCUUUGCGGUAUGAGAAAGAGAGUCCAGUUCAGCUGAUGCAGCUUUUCAACAAAUUGGCUUCUCGCUCUGCUAAAUACAAGUCGGGGCUUGUUCAAUUCCUGCUUAAGCAGGCUGGUGUUGACAAAAGAACAGGCGACUUGUACGGGAACCGUGACCUAUUAAAUAUUGCUCGCAACAUGGCUCGUGGACUUAAGGGCGUUGAGAACGUAUACACCCAACACCAGCCUCUGAUCUUCCAAACAAUGGAAGGAAUUGUCAAGGGGCGAUUACGGGAUGCUGACUAUCCACUUGUUGGCAACCAUUUCCAGCAGGGCAGGCCUCAAGAUGUUGUGAUAUUCAUCGUUGGUGGGACAACUUAUGAGGAAGCAAGAUCAGUAGCCCUUUAUAAUGCAGCAAAUCCUGGAGUUCGUUUCUUCCUUGGAGGUUCAGUGGUUCUAAAUUCGAAGAGAUUUCUUGAAAACCUGGGGGAGGCACAAAGAAUAUCGAAGUCUAGCACUCUAUUAUGA
rnacentral:rRNA from 1 species